rnacentral:sRNA from 1 species
AUGUACCAGUCGUACACUCCGGUUCUGAGCGCGCCCUCCAUGCCCACCUGACAGCU